UACGUAGGGGGCAAGCGUUGUCCGGAAUCAUUGGGCGUAAAGAGCGCGUAGGCGGCCCGAUAAGUCCGCUGUGAAAGUCAAGGGCUCAACCCUUGAAUGCCGGUGGAUACUGUCGGGCUAGAGUCCGGAAGAGGCGAGUGGAAUUCCUGGUGUAGCGGUGAAAUGCGCAGAUAUCCGAAGGAACACCGGUGGCGAAGGCGGCUUCCUGGACCGACACUGACGCUGAGGCGCGAAAGCUAGGGGAGCAAACGGGG
rnacentral:rRNA from 1 species